rnacentral:rRNA from 1 species
GUCGAACGCUGGCGGCGUGCUUAACACAUGCAAGUCGAGCGGAGCGGCGGAGGGGUGAGUAACGCGUGAGUAACUGCCCCCCUCGCUGGGAUAACAGAUGGAAACGGCAGCUAAUACAGGAUAGUGGGGGAUGACGGGCGUCCUAUCAGCUUGUUGGUGGGGGAGUGGCCGACCAAGGCGACGACGGGUAGCCGGCCUGCGAGGGCGACCGGCCACAUUGGGCUGAGAUAGGGCCCAAUCUCCUACGUGGGGCAGCAGGGGGGAAUAUGGCACAGUCAGGGAGACCCUAAGACAGCAACGCCCGGGCGUAAUGACGGCCUUGGGGUGGUGAACCGCUUUCAGCCAUGACGCGGUAGUGGCAGAAGAAGCACCGGCUAACUACGUGCCAGCCGCCGCGGUAAUAC